AGAGAAACGCGGGAGUGGUGGGGGAUGUGGGUUCCUGUGUGCUGAGCGGAGGAGCCGGGGUGGGGGCGGUGCAAGCGGAAGAAAGAGCCAAGAGAGCGGAAAAUCGGCUGGUGCUGUCGCCGCCCGAGUUUUGUGUUUCCACAGCUUUCCAGUUGGGUACAACGGAGCCGAACUCCGUGUUCCCGGGCUGGAGAGCCUUGGUGUCCCCGCCAACCCCCAGUAGGAAGCGAGCGCUGUAACAUGGGAGGCGUGGUCGCCACUGAUCUUGUCUCCCCCCAGAGCCUUCCUAAAGGCUCUGCCGCCACGAGACUGCACCACCGGGAAAGAAGUGUGUGAAAGUGUACUCCGUAAACAGGCAAUCCUGUACGCGACUUAGGGGCAGAAAGACCCUCCGCACUUUUAUCAUUUGAAAGUAAGGUGGACGAUUCCAGCCUGGUGUCCCUGAGGGUACACACAGGCCCCCCGCGCAGCCAGAGGUGACUCAGGAACCCCCCUUCCAACCCCUGCGUAGAACGCCGAACAGUCUUCGGAGAAUUCGCUUUCCUCCACGUGAAAAGGAAAAGAAAAACAUUUGAGGAGUCGCAGUAGUCACUUGUACUCCCCAAACACACGGGAAGAAGUUGAUCAGUUUGCAUGCUUGGAGUCAAAUUACGCUCAGCACAAAUCCAACGCCCCUGAAUUAAAUGAGCAGUAGAAGCUCUCUGCAAAAAACACAACAGUAUUUGUGACCCGGUAUUAUUUCAGGAGGUAAAAACAUCUAUAAGCAGAUGCAUUUGGGACGUAUGCAUUUCCUGGUAAUGUCAAUAUCGCAUUAAGCUAGUGGGUUUGGGCAGGGAAAGCCUGAAUCGGACAAGAAGCUGGCUUUUUUUUUUUUUAGGCUAUAAAUAACCAGACCAUGCCAGACACAUGUUCUUAGGCUAUGUUCUUAGGCUCAGGUGAUUGGAGUGCCCCCCCCCCCAUCCCCACCCUCAGGGCUUAGGGAGAAUGGAAGAUAAGGUGGAUGCUGUCACCUGUAUUAAUAGUUAGGGCUUGCAUACAUACAGUAAAGUUUCAAGAGUGAAACUUCAUCGACUGAACUCUUUAUGAAGUGACUGCCUGACUCUACACGCGAUGUUUUAGGAGUUGAAUUUUUACUUUCCCCCUGACACCUUUCUUUUUUGUAUCCUCAAGAAACAAAUUUCCGUACCGUAAGUUUACCUGGGACUACCAAAACAGUUCUGUUAGAUGACCGUGGAAUUCACCCCAAAUGUGCACAUAACCAAUAAGGGCGAGGCAGCCCCCUAGAGGGAGCUGUAGGUUGAUGAGCCAAGUGAUUUUAGGUAUGCAGUCUAAUUUCCAAACCUGUUUCCUCAGCUGCAAAACGAGAAUUCCUACAGCCAGAAAGUUGUGAGGGUUUGGGCGGGGGGCGGGGUUGGGGAAGUUGUUUUUGUUUUUUUGAGACAGGGAUUCUCUCUGUCGCCCAGGCUGGAGUGCAGUGGCGCGAUCUCGGCUCGCUGCAACCUCCGCCUCGCCGGCUCAAGCAUCCUCCCACCUCAGCCUGCAGAGUCGCUGGGACCACAGGUGUGCACGACUACGCUCGUCUAAUUUUUUGUAUUUUAAGGGUAAAGACAAGGUCUCACUAUGUUGCCCAGGCCUGUUUCUAACUCCUGGACUCAAGCAAUCCGCCCACCUCGGCCUCCCAAAGUGCUAUUAGAUCCAAUUUUGAUUUUCCUUGGCAUUCUGUUAAUUCAAACACAUGUAGGUUUAGAAGAGAUUUUCACCUAGAUUUUGGAGGAGAUGGACGUCCAUAAACGUACACUCUUUAGCACAAUUUGUUUGAAACUAAUUUGGAAAACAAAAUCUCUCAAUGAGCAGAAAUAGUCAUGGAACAUUUUUUGUUUGUUUUGCUUUUCUUCGUGAAUAAGCAUAUUUAAAAUAAGAUAAAGGGCUUGAGUUAGCAAAGAGACACCUUAUGGACCAUUGUCUUAGUGAUAAAUGAUGUGUGGGCUACUGCCCAGUCAGGCUUUCGAGAGGCCUAUCAGUCUCUAUGCAGAGGAGGAUAGCCACUCAGAAGCAGGUGGCUUCUGCCUUUCCUUUAAAAGUUAAGCUUAGGGAAAGAUAGUCCUGAACAUGUCAUUAGGGUCAGUAUGGUUCUUGCUGCCUCUAAGAAUUAGUAUAUGGGGCCAAAGCAGGGAGAUGAAAGAAUAUGUUCAAGGAAAAGUUCCAAAGACUGCACCAUAAUAUUCACUUUAUUCCACACAAUUUGCACAUUCAUUGUGACUGGCAUCAAUGAAAACCUUGUAGUCAGUGUAAUGUAUUAAAAAAUCACAUAUUGCAUUUUAGGAAAGAGUCCUUAUAAAACAACAACAACAACCUGUAGAUUUUGAACUCCAUAUGGAGCACAUUUUUUCAAUUAGAUGUUUUCUGAGAUGUCAGUGAGUCCGCCCCUACAGAGGAAAGAGGCUAACUUGACUGAAUUGGUAUGAACAGAUAAUACACUACCCACUACAUGAAGCUGCAGUCAUAGCUGAUAGGGUUGGUAGCACCUAUUGAGGUAAUCACCUCAAUACAUGCUUUUUAAAAGAGUGUAGAGAAGUUAGAAUGCAUUUAAUCAACCUACCAUACUGUAUGCCAAGUAACAGACUGCAAUCCAGAACAAGACAUGAUCUCAUUAACCUAGUUCUGCCCUUGCUGUCAGUGAAAAGAAUGACCCUCUUCCAGAUGCGGAAGAAACAUGUAAACUCAUGAGGCAAUUGCAUUAGUGCAUAGGUUUUGAGGAAAGAGGCUGAUACGGUUUGGCUGUGACCCCACCCAGAUCUCAUCUUGAAUUCCCACGUGUUGUGGGAGGGACCCGGUGGGAGGAAGUUGAGUCA
rnacentral:lncRNA from 10 species